UCCGAGCUGCCUCGACACCCACAGCUGCUUUCCGCCAAGCUGUGAGUCCUCUUCCGGCUCCUCGUGCUCCAAAUUUAUCUGCACCUGCUCUUCCUCCUGGAUGGACCACGUUCAGUCCCUGCAGGUGGACGUAGGAGCAUCUGACGACCCAGGGCAAAGCUGUGGUGCGUGGUGGUCCAUGCGAUGUGGGCUUCCAGUUCUGGGGAAGAUGCUGUGGUGUGGAGUGGUUGUGGUGCUUUACACGAACCCAGCUUGGAAACUGGGGGCUCGGGAAGAGGGAAACCACGGCUCUGCAUCUGUCACUGACACACAUUGGCUUCAGUACCAUAUUCAGCCAGGAUGGAUAUUAGGAAAUUGAGUUCAGGUUGGAUAUAAGGAAAGAUUCUUCUCAGAAAGAGCGGUGCUGCAGUGGCACAGGCUGCACAGGGAGGUGGUGCAGUCACCGUCCCUGGAGGUGUUCCAGAGCCGUGUGGAUGUGGCACUGAGGACGUGGUCAGUGGGCAUGGUGGGGGUGGGCUGGCGGUUGGACUGGGUGAUCUUAGAGGCCUUUUCCAGCCUUAAUGAUUCCAUGAUUCUAUGAUUCUAUGAUUCUGUAAGCCUUGGCAUGAGCGCUGGAGCAGCUCUCUUCAAGGGGAAAGUCUGGGGCCAAGGACGGCUGCAGGUGGAGACACCGGGAUGAAGCAUAGGGACACCACGAUACAUCCUGCAGGCUGAGGUGGGAACGUUCCUUUUCUCCUGGCCUUAAGUUUCCCUCCCCUCCAUGCAUAUCUAAGCUGGUGAGGCAAAAAAAUGCCCUGCUCCCCCCUCCGUCCUUGCAGAAAUAGAGUCGGACUUGGAAUUCCCCUCUGUCUCAUGGCUGGGGACACAGGGUCUCGCUGGUGAUCUCAGCCCGGCAGAAACCUUUCUGUGCUGAGAGCAGGCAGCAGCGGAGCAGGAGGCUGGGAAGGAGGAGGGGAGCCAUGGCAGGAAACCAAGAACACAUCAGACACUCUAAAUUUAGAUCUUUUUAUUCAGCUCGGACAAUAUUCCUUGAUUUCUCAUUGUUCGGCGGAGGGCAGAGGGCAGGGGAUCUAUUGAAAGGCUUUGUCCUGAGAGAUGCCACUUUGUCUGGGCACAGGGGGGCGGAGGAGCCGCAGAUUGGGGCGGAUGGGGGCUCCCAUCCCACCGCUCCAGCGAUGCUCGGGCACCUGUGCAGUCCCACUACCCUCAGGGUACCCCCCGUGCCCCAUCCAUGCUGGGGAGCGCCGGCUGCGGGGCCCCACGGUGAGCGGUCCCCGUGGCAGCGGGGCAGCGGGCGCAGGGUGUGUAAAUGCAGGGUAAAUACACACCCGCUCUAUACGUCUCGCUGCCUUUCCGGCACUGCAGCUCAAAGUCUAUUUUUAAACUCCCUCCUUUAUUACACAUGCCAGCAGAUAGCCACGGCCUGCCCACCCCCAUAGCAAGGUGCUGCUCUACUGUGUGCCCAGCAUGGGGAUGGGGCCCGUGGUGGGCCACCGACCCGCUCCUCUGCCCAUCACCGUUGGGCAAUCCGGGGUGCCCGGCCACGUGUGCGUGCUAUUGCAAUGCAGCUGCAGGGUGCACAGUGCCUGGGAUGACGGCUG
ensembl:lncRNA